rnacentral:rRNA from 1 species
UACAGAGGUCUCAAGCGUUGUUCGGAUUCAUUGGGCGUAAAGGGUGCGUAGGUGGCGCGGUAAGUCGGGUGUGAAAUUUCGGAGCUUAACUCCGAAACUGCAUUCGAUACUGCCGUGCUUGAGGACUGGAGAGGAGACUGGAAUUUACGGUGUAGCAGUGAAAUGCGUAGAGAUCGUAAGGAAGACCAGUGGCGAAGGCGGGUCUCUGGACAUCUCCUGACACUGAGGCACGAAAGCUAGGGGAGCAAACAGG